AUUGAACGCUGGCGGCAGGCCUAACACAUGCAAGUCGAGCGAGCGGCGGACGGGUGAGUAAUGUCUGGGAAACUGCCUGCUGGAGGGGGAUAACUACUGGAAACGGUAGCUAAUACCGCAUACCAUCAGAUGUGCCCAGAUGGGAUUAGCUAGUAGGUGGGGUAAUGGCUCACCUAGGCGACGAUCCCUAGCUGGACUGGGAGGAUGACCAGCCGACUGGGAAGUGAGACACGGUCCAGAUCCCUACGUGAGGCAGCAGGGGGUAAUAUUGAACAAGGGGCGCAAGCCUGUUGCCGCACGGCCUCGUGUGUGAAGAAGGCUUUCGGUUUGUAAAGCACUUUCAGCGGGGAGGCGUUACCCCAAGAAGAAGCACCGGCUACCUCCGUGCCAGCAGCCGUGGUAAUA
rnacentral:rRNA from 1 species